rnacentral:lncRNA from 10 species
AGAGAAGCUGGGAUCGACUAGGAAACCGCAGGCAGCGGCUCCCGGGGGCGAGAGCUUUGUUCACGUGCGUUUCCAGUGGGUGUGUUGCUGUCUAGGGGCACUCGCGUGGCAAGACGCCCGUGGCUGGCUUCCAGCGCCCAAGAUUCAAGGAAGGGAAGGAGCCCUAGCGUUUCAUCCGGACCAGACCCAGCCCUCGGAGUCUAUUUUUUGCCUCCAGUUACCGGAUUUAUUGAAGUUGCCAGCGAAGUUGGUUUUAUUCCUUUACUUCUCUGCUCUCCGCCCCCGUCCACAUCCCCCAACCCUGUAUUAUUUCCUGUCCUAGCUGCGCUUUAAAGAUUCGGAACUUUUCACUCGUUCUAGCUACAGAUUUUAACUGUGUUCCGUGUGCGAGACGAAUUGUGGAGGGCACCCACCCACCCAUGCCAAGUGUAAAUGAAACCGCAAGAAAAGCUGCCUCCCACUCACCCAUCCAGUGUCCGAGUAAGCCUAAUGACACACAUUCACAUAACUAAGAAGACACGGGAAGAUAGGGGUGCGGAGGACGGAGUUUGAUGUGUGAAUGGGAAAUGGAGAGAGGGGACAGCGCGCGCGAGAGAAACAGCGCGAGCCUGAGCCUUAGAAUGGAAUAAACGGGAAACACACACAAGAAUGACGAUGCAAAAAAUGUAUCUAAGUCCCAACAUUGACAGCAGAGGGUCAGCUUUAAGCGCCUACAUUUUGAUCCGCGAAAUUUCCCAGCUUUUUUGGAGGCGGUUACAUAGAGAACACAGGAGCCUCUGCCUUGGCCGCCCAGAUGCUUUGCAUUUUGUAAACAGCUUUGACUAAGUGCUCUGGACUUCCAAGAAGUUAACUGGAGUGGAAGGCGAGUCAUAUUGUGGAUGCGGAAUGGAAGCUUAGACAAGAAAAAACUGUCAGCAGAGCGCCUCUGCUCUCACCGUCACACCCAAAUGAGCCAGGACGUCGCUCAGAGCGCAAACUGAGAUCCACACAGGGACAUCUUCAACCGAAUCUUUCUUCUGUCUCCAUUCCGGACUAAGGAAAGAAAGAAAGAAAUACGGAGCCUUUAUAGAGUAUUCAGAGGCUACACACAUGGAUCUUGCUGAAACGGAGUUAUUUAAAAACAGAGAAAGUGUGUUUUCCCAUGAGAUAGAUGUUAUAGUUUCUCUCUGAAACAUACCCAAGUCUAUGGGUGUCAAUAAUAGCCAUUUCAAAUGCCUCUCUGAGCCUUGCCAGCCCCAGAAGAGGCUGUGGGAAUGCUGCUUCCAGCUUCCCCUGUGCAGAACUCCGUUGUAAAUCCUUCUGAGUUUCCAAGGUGGCAGCAGAGCAUAGGGAUAGCUCCUCAAGCUCCAGCAUCAACAAGGAAGAUCACAUUUUAGGACAAAUACUCAUCUACCUGCAUUUAAACAUCCAUUUUCGUAUGUAAGUGUACAUAAGUAUCCGCAGGAGGUUCUUCCUUUGAAAUCUUGAUCCAGGAAAGCAGCAUAAUUAUUUCAUCUUUAAGAACACAUUUUAAAAAGGCAAAGCAGGAUCUUUAAAGCAACAAAGGUUUUGCUUUCUGAUUUAUGCUGCUAGAAAAUGAAUGAGAUUGAAAAUGGGGGAGGGGGUGGUUGCAGAUUUACAGAAUUCAUACUUUAAAUUAUUGGUGUUUCUAAACCAUGAGCAAACCAUGUUAUGAGUAUGUGCCACCUAUUAAAAGCUAUUGGUUGCAUCUAUUG